AUAUAUCGGAACGUACCCAAGAGUGGGGGAUAACGUACGCUAAUACCGCAUACGAUCCACGGAUGAAAGUAGGGGACCUUCGGGCCUUAUGCUUUUGGAGCGGCCGAUAUCUGAUUAGCUAGUUGGUGAGGUAAAGGCUCACCAAGGCGACGAUCAGUAGCUGGUCUGAGAGGACGACCAGCCACACUGGAACUGAGACACGGUCCAGACUCCUACGGGAGGCAGCAGUGGGGAAUUUUGGACAAUGGGCGCAAGCCUGAUCCAGCAAUGCCGCGUGAGUGAAGAAGGCCUUCGGGUUGUAAAGCUCUUUUGUCAGGGAAGAAACGGCUGUGGCUAAUAUCCACGGCUAAUGACGGUACCUGAAGAAUAAGCACCGGCUAACUACGUGCCAGCAGCCGCGGUAAUACGUAGGGUGCAAGCGUUAAUCGGAAUUACUGGGCGUAAAGCGUGCGCAGGCGGUUUUGUAAGUCUGACGUGAAAUCCCCGGGCUCAACCUGGGAAUUGCGUUGGAGACUGCAAGGCUAG
rnacentral:rRNA from 1 species